GACGAACGCUGGCGGCGUGCUUAACACAUGCAAGUCGUACGGUAAGGCCCUUUCGGGGGUACACGAGUGGCUAACGGGUGAGUAACACGUGAGUAACCUGCCCACAACUUUGGGAUAACGCUAGGAAACUGGUGCUAAUACUGGAUAUGUGCUCCUGCUGCAUGGUGGGGGUUGGAAAGCUCCGGCGGUUGUGGAUGGACUCGCGGCCUAUCAGCUUGUUGGUGGGGUAGUGGCCUACCAAGGCGGCGACGGGUAGCCGGCCUGAGAGGGUGACCGGCCACAUUGGGACUGAGAUACGGCCCAGACUCCUACGGGAGGCAGCAGUGGGGAAUAUUGCACAAUGGGCGCAAGCCUGAUGCAGCAACGCCGCGUGCGGGAUGACGGCCUUCGGGUUGUAAACCGCCUUCAGCAGGGACGAAGCUUUUUGUGACGGUACCUGCAGAAGAAGCACCGGCUAACUACGUG
rnacentral:rRNA from 1 species